ensembl:snoRNA
GACCUCCUGGUCUUACCACAGGCUGUGUUCUCACACUGACUGUAUAGGAGGAGGAGGCCGAGGAAACCUACCCUCGGUCCGCCCCAGCCAGGCCCCACGCCUGGUCCAUAUUAUGAACGGGGGAAUAUGG